AUGCACAAUUCCAGUCUGAAUGUGACCAACUCUACUGUCAGGGAGAAGCACAUCCUAAAAGCCAUUUGAGGAGAGCCUUCCAAUUGAACCAUACAGCAGAGCUGGGUGAGACGACGGCAGCAGCGACCUUUCACAUUGAAAAUAUCGAGUAGCGUUCAGCCCGAGUUGAGCUGCAGCAAAGAGCGAUCCAAGGAGCACAACCAGUGAAUCAUCUGCAAACACUCACAGCUGUUUGGAUCAGCCAGACCAAUGCCCUACUAAACUGAAGUCCUUCCGCUAUGAACCACCUGGUCACCCACUGAGCUUUCUGUCUGAUCAACACUGCUCUCUGUACAGUGCAUUUCAGGUAACAUGCCAUCAACAGGAUACAGACCACGUUCUUGUGUAGACAACAGCAUUCAAAUUAGUACUAAGAAAAAAUCAACCAACUGGAGCCCCAGCUCCUUAGAAUGCGAGUAUGAAAAUGCUGGUUCCCUUCCCAGUUUUUGGCAGUGGAGAUUUGCCAUUAUAGAUCACGCAGGCCCAGUGUUUGGCGAGGGAAGGUAGAGUUAAUGGGCAAACUGGAGGGUAGGAUUAAACAAGACUUUAUUACUUCUCCUUGUGUGGCAAACAUAGCAAAGGAUUCUUAGCAGCAGUUUCUAAUAUUAGAAAGACAUUCAUGUAUAGUUGGGAAGGAGCAAAACAAAACAAUUGUUUUUCGCAAGUCUCCGUCACUACCACGGCAAUCCACUGGGCCGGAGAGUGAGUUGCACAGGGGACGACAAGCUGCUUAUUGGGGCAGUGGCUCUGUUUGCAUCCACAGGGUUUUAUGCAAGCGACCUCUUUGGUUUUGAUCCAUGGGAUUUGCACCACUUGAGGCUGAGAGGGCGGGUUCCUUUGAACCCCCCAAAAAGCAAAGUGGCACUCUAGCUAACUUGAUGAGUUUCAUCUGGCUUCCAAACUGGGGCGGGGUUGCUUGAAGCAGGACGGAGUUUGCAACUAAAAAGCAAACCCAGGUGCUUUCUUGCAUGAUAAGCAGGAUCAGUGAGUCCAAAAGAACCACCCUAUUUCAUCCUUACGCUAGGAAACACCUGUUAUUCCAAGAGGGUCAUUCCAUGCUUAAAAGCUUUGGGGCUUUUUAAAACUCACUGGUUUUUAAGAGGUACAAAGCCAGGUCAUCUCCUAUCCCGGAUUCCACCCUAUAUAGGUGGAAAAGAAUGGGAUAAAAUGAGGGAAACUACACCAGUGCACCAGGAAGUUGGUAGGGCUGGGACAGCAGGGGCUACGGAGCUAACGCCGCAGUUUUGCUUUAAGUCGAACAAGGAACGAGGGGUGGAACAAGCCGUGAAGCAGGCAGAGGUAGGGUGUAGAUUCUGUUGCGAGCACUUGAGAGAGAGCUGCUAGGAAGGGAGUGAAGACCUGGCGAGGAUAGCUGAGAGGCAGGUAAGAGCUCAGAGGACAGAUACCCAAGUCACUCGGCACUAAGGGUACGUCUACACUGCAAUUACAAACCAGUGGUUGGUGACUCAGCUCACGAGGUUCGGGGUAAGAGACUGUUUAAUUGGGUCCAGGCCAAACCCAAAAGUCUACACCACGAUUAAACAGGCCCUAAGCCUGGAUCUUGGCCAAGAUCCAGCAGUAGCAUGGCCUAGUACAUCAUCUCUGGACAGGCCACCCCUGGGUAUGUAACUGCAGUGUAGACAUACGCUAAGGGACUUGUCUACAUGACCCCACAGUGCAGACUGCAGGGUGCGAACUGCAGCCCACACUAAAGUUUUGUGCUGUAAGUAGACCCUGCUAGCACGAAGUAAAAGGUACCUAGUUCAUAGCAAUGUAGUCUCAUUUAAAGCAGCCCUACGCUAUCUCUUAGUUCAUGCUAGCAAGAUCUACGUGGGGUAAUUACAGCACUAAACUUUAGUGUGUGCUACAAUUCACAGCUCUGUAGGCCGUACUGUGUAGACAAGCACUAAAAUGCAGAAUCAGGGGAAGAGAAUUUAUUCUCACCGGCAGCGUUAUGCAAACUUACCUCACAAACCUAUAUAAAAUAGAGUAGCUCCAGCUAUCAAUCACAUGAAUGUUUGAAUUUACUGGAUAAAUUACUGAUUUAUUUUAAUAUGCAAAACCUUGUUGCUAUUGUGCCUACUGGUACACAUGAAUCUUGUCUAAUAUUACUUUUGUUACAUAGCGAUAAAAGGUAAAUAAGUAUUUGAAAUGUGUUUCUUUGAAUCAAAUACUUCAUCUAACACAGUGGACUCCUUCAAGCUUACACAGUUAGAACCAAAAAGUGCUAGUAGAAUCAGUCAUUAACAAACCUUUGCUUCAAGAGUUACCUUUUAAAAUGCAUCCAAGUCUGUGUAACUAAGUUAUGGCAACAGCUUAUCUGUCUCAUGAUUCAGCAUUUGCAAUAAGUGGAUAUUGACUUCAGUGGCAGUGACAAUUAUUGACCUGAAAGCUAAAUACUAGCCAAGGCACAGUAGAGGUUAACAUUUAACUGACUGGACACCUCAGACAAUUAACGUCUGUACUGUCAAUCAUCUACAGUUUCACAAUUCCGGCUGUGGAAUUGUCAACCGUAACAGCUUGCUGUUGAAGGAACAUUCUAAAUUAGAACUGAAGUUAGACGGUCCUGUCCAAUCAGGACGUGGAAAGUUGGAUAUGAGAGCUCAGUGGACACGUCGUAAGAACCUACUAAGAAGACUGCGGUAGCAUUUGCAAUUUAGAGCAGUUUUGCGCCUCAGAACAGGUGCGUAUAUGUUACCCAGGCUGUACAGGAACAUACAGUCAGGCGUGUUCACUGUGCACAUGGCAAGCAGCUAAGGCCACCAGAGGCAAAAUGGAUUCUUAACAUUGUGAUCAGCUCUCUUUCCCUCUGAGCAGUCGAUAAGAUUCCUGCUGCUGCCACGCACUUGUUACUAACAUGAGACCCACGCCAGGGAAGAGGAGAUGCUCGCUGGAUCCAUUCAGGGAACCUCACCGGGGAGUAGCCUGCCCAACUGGAUAGCUGCUAGUGAAUCGCAGACCUAAAAAGUCUUAAUGCACCUAUUACUGACGCAGUUGCAAAGUAGUAUUUGUAUGGCUAACCCUUGGCUUAGCCCAGCUGUACUAAUGUGAAACAUGUGCCUAGCACUGAAUCAGUUUUUAAAUCAAGGGGUUUAAUAGCAAAAUAGCCAUGAGGUAUGCACGAUAACAGCAUCCCCUCAGUGCUACAUGCAAAAUAGAGCGACUGUCCCUACGCUAUUCAAACUAGAGCCUAAGCAAAGAUCUUAACAGCAAGGAACUCUGGGAAAGUGCGCAGCUAGAGUCCAGUGGUGUAACUCUCUGGAUCAAUUCAAGCCAGAGUUCACAUGUUUCCCCCUACUCCCCGGAACAGGACUUCUUAACCAACAAGCAUGAUUUGUAACAUGGCCCAUGUAUUAAACUAAAAACAAGUGUUUGGAAAAUAAUACAGCUCUGAAAGUAACAGGGACAAGCCCAUCCUGUUAAUGCCAUUAUCUGCUCCAGUACCAGUCAUAUAGCUCUGGCUUUAAUUAUUUCAGGAAUCUCAGUUCA